rnacentral:tRNA from 1 species
GGGAAUGUGGCCGAGUGGUUAUGGCGCCAGAUUCAAGCGAUCAAAAGCUUCUCAAGUUCAUUGAGUUUCCUGGUAACGUAAGUUGCGCGGGUUCGAAUCCCGCCGUUCUCA